GACGAACGCUGGCGGCGUGCCUAAUUCAUGCAACUUGAGCGCUGAAGGUUGGUACUUGUACCAACUGGAUGAGCAGCGAACGGGUGAGUAACGCGUGGGGAAUCUGCCUUUGAGCGGGGGACAACAUUUGGAAACGAAUGCUAAUACCGCAUAAAAACUUUAAACACAAGUUUUAAGUUUGAAAGAUGCAAUUGCAUCACUCAAAGAUGAUCCCGCGUUGUAUUAGCUAGUUGGUGAGGUAAAGGCUCACCAAGGCGAUGAUACAUAGCCGACCUGAGAAGGGGAUCGGCCACAUUGGGACUGAGACACGGCCCAAACCCCUACUGGAGGCAGCAGUAGGGAAUCUUCGGCAAUGGACGAAAGUCUGACCGAGCAACGCCGCGAGAGUGAAGAAGGUUUUCGGAUCGUAAAACUCUGUUGGUAGAGAAGAACGUUGGUGAUAGUUGAAAGCUCAUCAAGUGACGGUAACUACCCAGAAAGGGAGGGCUGACUACGUG
rnacentral:rRNA from 1 species